rnacentral:lncRNA from 1 species
AACAAUCUCAGCAUCCUGUUCCAACUCCUGCUCUUUUGCCAGAACAUCUUCAAUAUUAUCCAACUGUUUGAAGCGGUAGUCUUGUAAAGACCUCAUAUUGUCCUUCUUCAGAUGGUCCCUGAUCUCAGCUAGGAGAUAUAAGCUCCUUCUCUGGAAUUCUUUAGGAAAAAGAAACAACAUUUAUUUAAAACAUAUUUCAAAACAUGAACCAGAAC